AGGACGAACGCUGGCGGCGUGCUUAACACAUGCAAGUCGAGCGGAAAGGCCCUUCGGGGUACUCGAGCGGCGAACGGGUGAGUAACACGUGAGCAACCUGCCCUUAGCUUCGGGAUAGCUCCGGGAAACCGGAAUUAAUACCGAAUAUGACUUUGGCUGACAUCAGCAGAAGUGGAAAGUUUUUCGGCUAGGGAUGGACUCGCGGCCUAUCAGCUAGUUGGUGAGGUAACGGCCCACCAAGGCGACGACGGGUAGCCGGCCUGAGAGGGCGACCGGCCACACUGGGACUGAGACACGGCCCAGACUCCUACGGGAGGCAGCAGUGGGGAAUAUUGCGCAAUGGGCGAAAGCCUGACGCAGCGACGCCGCGUGGGGGAUGAAUGCCUUCGGGUUGUAAACCCUUUCAGCAGGGACGAAGCGAAAGUGACGGUACCUGCAGAAGAAGCGCGGCUACUACGUGCCAGCAGCCGC
rnacentral:rRNA from 1 species